AACGAACGCUGGCGGCGCGCCUAAUACAUGCAAGUCGAGCGAGAAGGUGUAGCAAUACACUUGUAAAGCGGCGAACGGGUGAGGAAUACAUGGGUAACCUACCCUCGAGUGGGGAAUAACUAGCCGAAAGGUUAGCUAAUACCGCAUACGAUUCCUAGACUUCGGUUUGGGAAAGAAAGCGAUACCGUGGGUAUCGCGCUCCUGGAUGGGCUCAUGUCCUAUCAGCUUGUUGGUGAGGUAACGGCUCACCAAGGCUUCGACGGGUAGCUGGUCUGAG
rnacentral:rRNA from 1 species